rnacentral:rRNA from 1 species
GAUGAACGCUGGCGGCGUGCCUAAUACAUGCAAGUCGAGCGAACAGACGAGGAGCUUGCUCCUCUGACGUUAGCGGCGGACGGGUGAGUAACACGUGGAUAACCUACCUAUAAGACUGGGAUAACUUCGGGAAACCGGAGCUAAUACCGGAUAAUAUAUUGAACCGCAUGGUUCAAUAGUGAAAGACGGUUUUGCUGUCACUUAUAGAUGGAUCCGCGCCGCAUUAGCUAGUUGGUAAGGUAACGGCUUACCAAGGCAACGAUGCGUAGCCGACCUGAGAGGGUGAUAGGCCACACUGGAGCGUAGACACGGUCCAGACUCCUACGGGAGGGAGCAGUAGGGAAUCGGCCGCAAUGGGCGAAAGCCUGACGGAGCAACGCCGCGUGAGUGAUGAAGGUCUUCGGAUCGUAAAACUCUGUUAUUAGGGAAGAACAAAUGUGUAAGUAACUAUGCACGUCUUGACGGUACCUAAUCAGAAAGCCACGGCUAACUACGUG